rnacentral:tRNA from 1 species
UAAGAAGUAAUAUAAUGGAAGUAUUAGGGGUUUUGAUCUCCUGAGUGUAGGUUCGAGUCCUAUUUUUUUAA